UGGGGAAUAUUGCACAAUGGGCGCAAGCCUGAUGCAGCCAUGCCGCGUGUGUGAAGAAGGCCUUCGGGUUGUAAAGCACUUUCAGCGAGGAGGAAGGUGGUGGACUUAAUACGUUCAUCAAUUGACGUUACUCGCAGAAGAAGCACCGGCUAACUCCGUGCCAGCAGCCGCGGUAAUACGGAGGGUGCAAGCGUUAAUCGGAAUUACUGGGCGUAAAGCGCACGCAGGCGGUUUGUUAAGUCAGAUGUGAAAUCCCCGGGCUCAACCUGGGAACUGCAUUUGAAAACUGGCAAGCUAGAGUCUCGUAGAGGGGGGUAGAAUUCCAGGUGUAGCGGUGAAAUGCGUAGAGAUCUGGAGGAAUACCGGUGGCGAAGGCGGCCCCCUGGACGAAGACUGACGCUCAGGUGCGAAAGCGUGGGGAGCAAAACAGGAUUAGAUACCCUGGUAGUCCACGCUGUAAAACGAUGUCGAUUUUGGAGGUUGUGCCCUUGAGGCGUGGCUUCCGGAGCUAACGCGUUAAAUCGACCGCCUGGGGAGUACGGCCGC
rnacentral:rRNA from 1 species